UGCCAGACUCCUACGGGAGGCAGCAGUCGGGAAUAUUGCGCAAUGGAGGAAACUCUGACGCAGUGACGCCGCGUAUAGGACGAAGGUCUUCGGAUUGUAAACUAUUGUCGUUAGGGAAGAGAAAGGACAGUACCUAAGGAGGAAGCUCCGGCUAACUACGUGCCAGCAGCCGCGGUAAUACGUAGGGAGCAAGCGUUAUCCGGAUUUACUGGGUGUAAAGGGAGCGUAGACGGACUUGCAAGUCUGAUGUGAAAAUCCGGGGCCCAACCCCGGAACUGCAUUGGAAACUGUAUAUCUAGAGUGUCGGAGAGGCAAGUGGAAUUCCUGGUGUAGCGGUGAAAUGCGUAGAUAUCAGGAGGAACACCAGUGGCGAAGGCGGCUUGCUGGACGAUGACUGACGUUGAGGCUCGAAAGCGUGGGGAGCAAACAGGAUUAGAUACCCUCGUACG
rnacentral:rRNA from 1 species